GCCACCGUAGCUCAGUUGGUAGAGCAGGGGUUUCGUAAACCUCAGGUCAGGAGUCCGAGUCUCCUCGGUGGCU
rnacentral:tRNA from 1 species